GGAGGAGCUGCGGGUCGCGCCUCCACGGGGCAUGUCACGCGUGGGAGCGGCCCUCCAGGAGCAGAAAGCAAAGUCUCUUGCAAUGAAUCCACGGCAGCUUCGAUUGAGCGGUGAGCUGGAGCACCUACCCACAGGCCACUUCUCGAUGUGA
rnacentral:lncRNA from 1 species